rnacentral:lncRNA from 1 species
AUGCUGGGAGUCACAUCCACCCUGGCCCUGUACACCUUGGAUUGGCUCCGACACUCCCAGAGCAGCCAAACCCCAGAAACGACCAAUCCCUCCAUGAAUUCUUGGGAAAACAACCCAGGUUCACAAUUCCAGCUGGAACGUGCCAAAAAAAAAUAUUUAACAAAACCAAAUACUGGAUUUGGAAGAUAUUGGUCAUGGAAGAGGAAAACUUUUGCAGGCCCAUUUCCUGUGUCACCAGACCAUAAAGAUCAAUGGAAUGACGCAGCUCCAGCCCAGAGCUUGGCGACAGGGAGUGCCCUUUCCAGCCUGGCAACAGCUGCUGAUCCACAGGGAUCAUCUGUUCCAAAGGUUCCAGGGGCUGAUCUGAUGGAAACUGAGAAUCCUCCCAGGGACAGAGCAGAGUCCAGACGCCCUGAGCUACAAGCACAGAAUCCCAGGACUCCUGAGGAGCUACUCCAGGGCCAGACUGAACCCAGAGAUGAGAAAGGAGAAGCUACCAGAAGGAAGGUGUCAUUCCCUCCUUCGCUCUGCUCUGGGCACCUGGAACCAGGAAGGACAGGGGGAGCAAAGGGCAGGAUUGCAGCCUCGGAGCUGCUGGAGCCCAGCCCUGGUGCUGAUGGAGCAGAGGGUGGGGCCCGUCUGUCUGUCCCAGGCCCCUCCUAA